UAAAUGCUAUAAUUAAUUUGAAUUGCAGAAUUCAGUGAAUCAUCUAAUCUUUUAACUCACCUUGCGCUCCUUGGUAUUCCUUGGAGCAUGCCUGUUUGAGUAUCAUGAAAUCUUCAAAGUAAAUCUUUUGUUAACUCAAUUGGUUUCUACUUUGGUAUUGGAGGUCUUUGCAGCUUCACACCUGCUCCUCUUUGUUCAUUAGCUGGAUCUCAGUGUUAUGCUUGGUUCCACUCGGCGUGAUAAGUUAUCUAUCGCUGAGGACACUGUAAAAGGUGGCCAAGGUAAAUGCAGAUGAACCGCUUCUAAUAGUCCAUUGACUUGGACAAUACUUUUAUGAUCUGAUCUCAAAUCAGGUAGGACUACCCGCUGAACUUAAGC
rnacentral:misc_RNA from 1 species